rnacentral:rRNA from 1 species
UAACGCGUGGGUAACCUGCCUCAUACAGGGGGAUAACAGUUAGAAAUGACUGCUAAUACCGCAUAAGCGCACAGUGCUGCAUGGCACAGUGUGAAAAACUCCGGUGGUAUGAGAUGGACCCGCGUCUGAUCAGCUAGUUGGUGGGGUAACGGCCUACCAAGGCGACGAUCAGUAGCCGGCCUGAGAGGGUGAACGGCCACAUUGGGACUGAGACACGGCCCAA